rnacentral:rRNA from 1 species
UACGUAGGGUGCAAGCGUUGUCCGGAAUUAUUGGGCGUAAAGAGCUCGUAGGCGGUCUGUUGCGUCUGCUGUGAAAACUCAGGGCUUAACCCUGAGCUUGCAGUGGGUACGGGCAGACUAGAGUGCGGUAGGGGAGACUGGAAUUCCUGGUGUAGCGGUGGAAUGCGCAGAUAUCAGGAGGAACACCGAUGGCGAAGGCAGGUCACUGGGCCGCAACUGACGCUGAGGAGCGAAAGCAUGGGGAGCGAACAGG